rnacentral:rRNA from 1 species
UACGUAGGUGGCGAGCGUUGUCCGGAUUUACUGGGCGUAAAGAGCGCGCAGGCGGUCGUCCAAGUCGCGUGUGAAAGCCCCCGGCUCAACUGGGAGGGUCACGCGAUACUGAUCGACUCGAAGGCAGGAGAGGGUAGUGGAAUUCCCGGUGUAGUGGUGAAAUGCGUAGAUAUCGGGAGGAACACCAGUGGCGAAGGCGACUACCUGGCCUGUUCUUGACGCUGAGGCGCGAAAGCUAGGGGAGCAAACGGGAUUAGAAACCCCGGUAGU